rnacentral:rRNA from 1 species
ACGAACGCUGGCGGCGUGCUUAACACCUGCAAGUCGCACGGAAAGGCCCUGCUUUUGUGGGGUGCUCGAGUGGCGAACGGGUGAGUAACACGUGAGUAACCUGCCCUUGACUUUGGGAUAACUUCAGGAAACUGGGGCUAAUACCGGAUAGGAGCUCCUGCUGCAUGGUGGGGGUUGGAAAGUUUCGGCGGUUGGGGAUGGACUCGCGGCUUAUCAGCUUGUUGGUGGGGUAGUGGCUUACCAAGGCUUUGACGGGUAGCCGGCCUGAGAGGGUGACCGGCCACAUUGGGACUGAGAUACGGUCCAGACUCCUACGGGAGGCAGCAGUGGGGAAUAUUGCACAAUGGGCGGAAGCCUGAUGCAGCAACGCCGCGUGCGGGAUGACGGCCUUCGGGUUGUAAACCGCUUUCGCCUGUGACGAAGCGUGAGUGACGGUAAUGGGUAAAGAAGCACCGGCUAACUACGUG